GAUAAACGCUGGCGGCGUGCAUGAGACAUGCAAGUCGAACGGACGAUCGAGGCUUGCUUCGAUCGUUAGUGGCGGACGGCUGAGUAACGCGUAGGUGACCUGCCCCGAAGUGGGGAAUAACUGCCCGAAAGGGUGGCUAAUACCGCAUGUGGUGGUGUGUUCAAUCACACCAGUAAAGCCGCAAGGCGCUUCGGGAGGGGCCUGCGUCCGAUUAGCUCGUUGGUGGGGUAACGGCNCACCAAGGCGACGAUCGGUAGGUGGUCUGAGAGGACGAUCACCCAGACUGGGACUGAGACACGGCCCAGACUCCUACGGGAGGCAGCAGUCGGGAAUUUUGCGCAAUGGACGAAAGUCUGACGCAGCAACGCCGCGUGAGGGAUGACGGCCU
rnacentral:rRNA from 1 species